CUUGCAGCCCGUGGUGAUGCCAUGGCCUCUGCCAGCACCAGCAGGGCCAGGGCAGGGCCGCCCUGCGAGAAGUCCCAGCUCUCCGUGAAAGUGGUGUCCGUGAAGCCCAAGGCGCAGAGCCGCCAGUCGCGCAUGAACUGCUACGUGGAGGUGGCCGGCGACGGGCUCCCCGGCGAGACCAAGAAGACAGGGAAGCAGAUCGGGAUCUCGGAGGUGCUCUGGAACGAGAUCCUCGUGCUUGGAUGUCAC